rnacentral:rRNA from 1 species
CAUGCAGUCGAAACGGUAACAGGAAGCAGCUUGCUGAAUUUGCUGACGAGUGGCGGACGGGUGAGUAAUGUCUGGGAAACUGCCUGAUGGAGGGGGAUAACUACUGGAAACGGUAGCUAAUACCGCAUAACGUCGCAAGACCAAAGAGGGGGACCUUCGGGCCUCUUGCCAUCGGAUGUGCCCAGAUGGGAUUAGCUAGUAGGUGGGGUAACGGCUCACCUAGGCGACGAUCCCUAGCUGGUCUGAGAGGAUGACCAGCCACACUGGAACUGAGACACGGUCCAGACUCCUACGGGAGGCAGCAGUGGGGAAUAUUGCACAAUGGGCGCAAGCCUGAUGCAGCCAUGCCGCGUGUAUGAAGAAGGCCUUCGGGUUGUAAAGUACUUUCAGCGGGGAGGAAGGCGAUAAGGUUAAUAACCUUGUCGAUUGACGUUACCCGCAGAAGAAGCACCGGCUAACUCCGUGCCAGCAGCCGCGGUAAUACGGAGGGUGCAAGCGUUAAUCGGAAUUACUGGGCGUAAAGCGCACGCAGGCGGUCUGUCAAGUCGGAUGUGAAAUCCCCGGGCUCAACCUGGGAACUGCAUUCGAAACUGGCAGGCUAGAGUCUUGUAGAGGGGGGUAGAAUUCCAGGUGUAGCGAUGAAAUGCGUUAGAGAUCUGGGAGGAAUUACCGGGGGCGAAGG